rnacentral:lncRNA from 1 species
UCCAUAUUACAAGAUAAUGUGCGAUACAAAAUCUAAAACUAAAUGGAGGUUAACACUGACUAAUGUCAACAUAAAGCUGGGCCGGCAAGGCCGUCAUAAUUACUACAACUGACAAGCCAACAAAAUAUACAUACAAGGCCUAUAAGCCCAACAUACUGCACUAACUGACAGGAUAUAUCUACAAGCCUCUACGGAUAGAUAUACUGUGAUCGGAACAGGGUCCCGACCUACCCUUAACCUAUCUACAUAUAUGCACAAGAUGUACUCCAAACUGCUAGACCCGGCAACUCCAAGAGACAAGGAGCUUACCGAUAUGGCUGAACUCGGGCAUACACCUACUGAGAAGGUCUACUCAUUUGUAUGUCCGAACCUGCACGCAUAAAAUGCAGCAUCCCCAGAAAGGGACGUUAGUAUGAAAUAAUGUACCGAGUAUGUAAGGCAAUAUACUGAAGCUGAAACUGAACUGAUAAUAUAAUAACUAAAAACAACUGAGAGUCAAAGAAAAUCUGAAGACAUGCUCAUCUACUGAUACUAACUCAAUUCUCUCAAUAUAGUGAGUAAAAUAACUGCCCGGCCCUAUAAGGCUCGGUAUACAUAUAUAUCUGCUCUGUCGUAGUAGGCCCGCUCAUAAGCGUUUGGCCAUACUAGGCUCUGUAUCUCGACCAACUGGGCUCGCUCAUAAGUGCUCGGCCACAGUAGGCUCGGUAUAUAACUUACCAACUGAUCAGAGAUUGCCCAAUAGAGGCUUGCCCAUCGAUUAUAGCUUGAUGGUAAUGAAAAUACUUCUAAUACUGUAUCUAUGUAAAUUAUCUACUCUUUUGACCAAAAUAAGGAAAUAGUCAACUGAAUAUGCAGUCCCGAUAAGAAGAAUAUGGUAACUUACAAAACUAGGAAAAUAUAUGUAAUUUGCGAGGCUAGCAAAAUAUACGUAAAUUUCGGGAUACGAAUUUUUCUUUACUCCUCAUUAUCGAACUUGUGUAAUUACGAUAUCAUGCUAAAAUGAACGAAAAGCUUAGCCUUAACAUACCUGAAGUGGGAAAAACUCCGUAUACUAUUUCGUUGGAAAAUCUUCGUUGAUUGAACGAAAUUUGCCUCUGCUCCUUAAGUAUUCACGGAUGAAAUUUGUUUCUGGUUCCUUAAAUUUUGGAAUGAAUUUGAUCUGAUUUGGAGUGAGGCUUGGACGUUUGGUUGGAUCUUGAAAUUGCUUCUUCUUUUUACAUUGGUUAAUGACAGAAUGUAACAAUUGUUCUUGUUCUUGAAAUGAAAUGAAUUUAAAGUCACCAAAAUGAAGCUUUUUUUAAAAAAUGGAAUUUGCUUCUGCUUUCAACGUCCCUGGGCAGAUUAUGGUCUUG